rnacentral:lncRNA from 1 species
GAUAAAAAGUUAAUGAAACAAACAGUUAGACCACUGAUGGAAGAUGUAUUGAUCCCCACUUCUUUUUUGUCAGUGUUGUUGUCAUGGCAAAUCGCUGGUGUCCGUCACUGGAGCAAUUCACCCCUGCCAGCCUCCAUUUUGGAUCAUCGGGUGGUCUCAAGACAGAGAUAAAAGAAGGGGAAGAAGAAGAGGAGGAGGAAGAACGCUCACCCAUCUACUCCCUCUCCAAGAGCUCUGUGGACAUAGUCAUGGCAACGAAAUCCCCACACCUGCGAGACCCUGCGUGGGCAAAACUGGAUCUGAGACGGAGUGCCAGCCAAAAUACACAGUCCUUCCCAAACUCAAACACAUUACAGCUCAGACCACUGCAGCAAUACGGACAACACACACCCACGCAGCCAAACGUGGCUCAAAACAUACACCAGCACGGAUCUCCCCUUAGAAACGAAUGUGUGGAGCGUUGGAGUGUGUAUAGCGGUAGCUUGUGUAGCAGUGGUAGCACACCAGAGACUGUAAUAUGGAAGGGAGGGGCCUCCCGCCCCUGUAGUAUGACUGAGGAGACCCUGCGCGUCCCGUACAUUGCUUGUUGCUUUGAGUCUCAGAAUUCGGUGCAAACACCAGCCACAACCUCACCUUGUCCCAUUCCUCAAAACACCAACAGCCCAGUGAUACACACAUGCCACCCCUUACACCAAUUCAGACCAUCACCCCUAACCACAGACACACGCUGUCAGACAGACCAAUCCUUACCUAUGUCCUCCGCCGUACAUGUAACCUCACCACAACCCUUAACCAUGACCACCGAAGGACGCCAACUAAAUCCGUUUUACCUUGCCCCUCACGCUCCUCCCUGCCCCUUCCCAUCUCCUUCCCGUAAAGCUCAGGGUGUGGAAGGUACGGAGGAGAGGAGCAGCAGUGAGAAGUUCCCUCUACAGCCACAGUGCACCAACUUGAGGACGUACUAUGGAGAGAGGUCUCCUAUGGGUGUUGGCCUGGGCAACCCUGUACAGCAGCAAGAAGUAGAGACGAGCUCUCCUGUGUUUUUACCUACCUCCCCACCUGUGCACCUGGCCAUGUCAUGGUUACCAAGACACACCUGUCAGUCUGGCCGGGUUCAGAGGUUGGCAGGAUUGGUCUUUUCCUCCAGUGACUCUCAGUUGGAUGGCUGCAACCGCAGCUGCUAUAACUCUGCCCACUCAGGGAUCAUGAACUUAAUGACAUCAUUACCCCAGGGAACACGUUUCAGGGAGGAAGGGACGAUGACAUCACAGAGGGAGUUGGUGGAUGUUGGGGUGCAGGUGGGGUCACCCCAUAGCACUCUGAAGGAUCCUGGGUCAGACAUGUAUCUGUUUCCCCCCCAGCUGUGCCACAUCUACAUGGGCUCCAACAGUUAUCUAAGUUCACAGUCUGUCUUGGGGUCCCCUCCAGGGUCAAGUUUAAACCUGAGGUCAGCAUUUGGCUCCCAGUCCAAUCUGGCAUCAUCCUCUUCCAGUAUGUUCCCCUUGGACAGCCCCAGGGAGGAGUUGGAAGUGGUGUGGGAGAAGACAGGGGAGAUGGGGAGGAGGAGGUCCUGUCUGAAGGUGGCAGUACAGGGUGAGGACAGCAGGAGUGGAGGACACAGAAAGAGGAGAAAUAGCAUGAAGCAGGUGCAAUGGGAUGAAGACGGACUGACCUGGGAUGUUUACGGAGCCUCUCUAGACCCAGAAGAACUGAGCUCGGCAAUACAGAAACACCUGCAACUCAAGACCCGGAUAGACAACCUAACCACAGAAUUCACAGCCAAGACCAAAAUCAAGUCAAGGAAUAAGACGUCCAAGACCAAAACUAAGACCCCUCUAAUGCAAACUGCUACCUCGUCAACAACUAGCACAGACAAAAGAACGAACACUGGAAUUGCAAGCUUACCAAUGGUACCAAUGGUACCAAUGGCAACUGUUGCCACAGAGAACGAGGUUGACACUACAAAAGACCGACAACAAGGAGCCAGAGAGUGUGAAAAAGAGGAAUAUGAAUGUAGAAAAGGGAAAAAGGAAAAGGGAGAGAGAGGAAAAGUACAAAGGAAAGCAGGGGGGGAUUUAAAGGGAGAGAGAAAUGAAGAUAGGAAGGAAGAGGGAGAUGGGAAGGAACGUGAGGGGGGAGGACAGAGGUGUGAAGUGGAGGACGAGACACUAAUGCUGUCAAAUGAGCCGUCGUCCCAUGAGAGUGAGCGCAGCUGGAAGAAGAGUGGGCGAGUGAUGAGGUCACUGAAGCGCUGCAUUCGGUCCUCAAACCCCAGUGACUGA